UCGCCGUGGUUUGAUGAGCAGUGCCAUGUCCGCUCCCAGGAUUCGAACCAACGAAACACUGGGCCGCCUGCAGCGGAGCGCGCAAACUUAACCACUCGGCCACGGGGCCAGCCCCAACUCAUGUGCCUUUUUAAUGUCCAAGCUAGCUUCCAGGUGACUGCUGUAACAAUUCAUGUGUGCUAGGUAAAUUAAAGCAUUAUUAUUUGGGAAACCUUGAUAUUGGAUUAAAAAUUCAUUAAUUUUAUUGCAAGAAAUUUUAAUAUUACAUUUGUCAAUUGAAAAACGUCAUUAUCGGUUAAAAGUCCUGUCAGUUGUGGAUUUUUAAUAAUUGGCAUGAGUGAGCAAAGUGUCUUAUUGACCAGGAACAUAAAAAAUUUCAAUAAUUCAAGAAUCAAGGAUUUCAAGAAAUUAUUAUUAAAAGUUUUGAUAAAAUAUUAUAGUGUUUCAAGCGUAAAAUCUAUAGUAGUGUUACAUCUAGGGGAGUAAGCUCAGGUUUCUCAUGAAAAUUUUGCAAAGAUUUGUUUGGAAGUUUUAUAGAACUUCAAUGUUAAAUAUAUUCCUUAAUAUUUUAUAUUUUUAUAAUUUUAUAAUGCAAAUGAAAUAUAGUGAAGUGUUUUCUAUGUAAUUCUUUUGUUUACUCGAGCGUGCUGUGCAGCUAUUACCAAAUUCUCUUGGUGCCGUGACAUGGGAGGGGAAGCAUUGCCCUACAGGAACAGCAGUACGUGUGCCCCAGGAAGCUAAGACAUUAUACCACUACUUGUGAUUGCGAAGAAUGGGAAGCCCUUUAAAUACCCACUAAUGUGGAAACGUAGUGAAGCCAUACUAAAGAAUAUUAUGCAGCAGGUGAAAGAAUGUGUUAGAUCACUAAGUUCUAACAGAAAGAUCUCUAAGAAGUAUUAUGAAAUCAAAAUGAGGACAUGGCAUUUUACUAAUGCUGAUAGGAGACAUAUAUUUAUAAUAAAUAAUAUAAUCUGUGAUAGCUUUGCUUUUUACAAAUAGGUUGUAUUAAUGCAUUUCUUAUGUAAUUGAAAUUCAAUUUAUCUUGAAAAAGUGUUAUGAUACAAUAUAGUAAAAUAGGAGAGUGGUCUUAAUUUUCUUUUGAAAAUUUCAUAAAAUUACCAAGUUUUGUAUAAGAGACAUGACCUGAACAACACUAAAUUCUGCACAUUCUAUAUAAAUGAUUAUAUGUUGAGGCUCAGUGAUGACUAGACAGCCCUCCCUCUACGUGGUGCAGAGCAGAUUAAAUUAAUUAAAUCCGCCCCCCCAAAUAAACUAAUCAGAGAUAUCUUUCCCUAUAGAGCUGUAGAAAAAACUUGAGGCCUGCUGUAAAGUAUUUCAGAAAUGGAUUUACCUGCUAUGUUGGUCAGGACUGACGUGCCAGAAUGUGAAAACAAUCCUUGGCGUAAGUAAGGCUUCUGCAGUCUGCGAGGCACCAGCAAGUUCAGCGUCAAAGGCAUUCUCAAACCUGGCCGCAUUCUCCUUUUUCCCAGUCCCAACAGCUCGAUCCCAGUUAGGGAAAUUAGGCAGAGGACAGUCAUCCUCGCCAAAGUACUGAGAGUUUGAAACCAAGCCAUGGUUAGCACCCCUCGAGUAUUCAGAAGUCCAAACAACCAGAAAGUAGCUGAAGCUGGACGUCUUUUUGGUAGCUGUGGAUCUGGGCACCUGGCAUAGAAAGGCUGAAUUAUAUAGGUAGACAGUAACAAGGUCUGAGUAGCUAUUCCUAAGGGAUAAACAGAAAGUUUGAUCCAAAGACUGAAGAAAGAAACAGAGACCUUUUGAGGAAAUAACAGGGCUCUCCACUCCUGGAAGGUCGUCCCCAGCCCUGCAUGACUGAGAGUGGCGAUGACAGUCACUAUGGCACCAGCAGCCCAAAUGCUCAGGGAGACAGCUACAUUCAAUGAGGAGUAUUUUAAUACCCCUUUAGGAGACUCAAAGAUUCCUGCCCCUAUAUGGCACUAAAUAACAUAUUUCCAGGGAAGAAUCCUAUUACCCUCAGGAGUUGCAUGCUUUUUCCUUUUUCCUUCUGUUUUAGUCCUGAAAAAAUAAUUUGAUAUUUGUGUAUGGAUUGCUAAUUUUUAUACAUUCCCCCCAUGAUUCUUCUGUAACGUGCUUUCUUGAUUUAGCCAUCAUCUUUAAGGCAAUAAUAAGCAUUAUAUUAUUGCACUUAACUUUGUUCUAAAAAUGAUUAACUUGUGAAUUGUUCUAAGAUUUUGUGAACUCUUUUUAAGGCCACAGUUAAAAUGUUUCAUGUGUUAAUUAUUUAGAAAUUCAAAUAUGCCUGGUGAUGGUUGCACGACAUUGCAAGUGUAAUUAAUGCCACUGAGUUGGUCAAAAUGGCAAAUUUUAUACUAUAUCUAUUUUACCACAAGCUAAAAAAAUUAAUAAUGUAAUAUAUACAAAAAGCCAUCCAGUCAUACACUUUAAUUGGGUGAGUUGUAGGAUAUGUGAAUUAUAUCUCAAUAAAUCCGCCUUUGAAAAAUCGCAUAUACCACUGAACAAGUUAGUCACAGCUGAUUGAGAAAGGAAGACUUAAGUUUUGGGCAGAGAACUCUCCUUUGGAGGUAUGGCAUUGAUACUAUGUAACUCUAAGCUAAUAUUUUAAAAACUGUAUUUCAAAGGAACUGUAGUUUAAUGUAAAAAAUGUAAAUUUUGUAUUUAAGUGGGCCAAGGUUUGAAUCCCACAUCUGCCACUUAGUAGCUGCAUGAUUUUUAGUAAGUUGUCUUAUUUCUUAGAAUCCGUAUUUCCUGAUUCAUAUGUAAAAUGAGGAUAAUAAUUUCAUUUGAUCAUAGAGUCAUUUCCAUAGAACUGAUUAAGUAACCUGUGGGAAACACCCAUUGGAGUACCUGACCUGUCAGGGCUUAAUAAUUGCCCUUGUGUGUACUGCUACCUAACAAAUUGCCCCAAAAGUCAGUGACUUAAAACAACAGUAUUCUCUCAUAGUUUCUGUGGGCUGGAAUGUGGGUGCUGCGUCCUUUGGCUCUGGGUCUCUCAUGAGGCUGCAAUCAGCUAUCAGCUGGAGCCGCAGUCAUCUCAAGGCUCCUCUGGGGAAGGAUCCACUUCCAAGCUCACUCACAUGGUUGUUGGCUAGAUUCAGUUUCUUACAGGCUCUUGGACUAAGGGCCUCAGUCCAUCACGAGCUAUUAGCUAGAGGCCUUCCUUGGUUCUUUCUAUGUGGGCCUCCUCAUAAGGCAGGUGACAAUGUGGCAUCUUUCUUGAUCCACCAGAGAGAGAAAGUGCUAACGGGACAGAAGUCACAGUCUCUUGUAAUAUAACCUUGGAAGUGACAUCCUUUCCCCUUUGCUGUAUUCUGUUCUCUAGAAACAAGUCACAAGUUCCACCCACAAUCAAGGGGAGGGGAUUACCUUAGAACAUGAAUACCAGGAGGCAGAGAUCAUUGGGGGACAUUAUCAGUAUCAGUUAGGUUGUAUAUAAUGAAAUUUCGUUGGGGAAGCACUCAUUCUUUUAUUAUAAUUAGGUAUCAAUAUUGCUCCUGUGGAUAGAUAUAAACCAAUCUAUUAAUAGAUAUAUUUAGGAGCUUCCAGUUCCAGGAUAAAAUCUUGAGUCUAAUAACACAAUAUCCAAAUGUCCAGGACACAACAGAAAAUCCUUCACCAUACCAAGGACCUGGGAAAUCUCACCUUGAACAAAAAAGACAAUCAGCAGACAACAAUACUGAGAUGGCACAGAUAUUGGAAUUAUCUGGCAAAUAUUUUAAAGUAGCCAUCGUAAAAAUUCUUCAAAAAGCAAGUGCAAACAUACUUAAAAGAAAUGAAAAAAUAGAAAGACCCAGCAGAGAAAUAAAAUAUAUAAAGAGAAACGAAAUGGAAAUUUUAGAACUGAAAAAAUAUAAUAAAUUAAAAACUCAAUGGAUGGGUUCAACAGCAGAGUGGAGAACACAGGGAAAGAAUCAGUGAACUUGAAAAUAGAACAAUAGAAAUUACCCAGUGUGGAAUGUAGAGAGAAAAUGAACUGGAAAAAAAAAAAGUAUAGAGACUCAGUGAUUUUUGUGGGCCUAUAACAAAAAGUCUAAUAUUUGUGUCAUUAGAGUUCCAGAGAAGAGGACAAAAAGAGUGUUCUCAAAAAAUAUUCAAAGAAACAAUGGUUGAAAAUUUCCCGACUUUGGUAAAAGAUAUAAAUCUACAGAUGUAAGAAGGUGAAUGAGUUCUAAACAUGAUAAAUCCAAAGAAAUCCAUGCCAAGAAACAUCAUAACCAAACUUCUAAACACCAAAGGAGCCAAAGAUAAAGAAAAAAAUAUAGGAAUUCUACAGGAAAAAUGACUCCUCACCUUUAAAGCAAAACCAAUUUGAAUAAAUGUAUUUAGGCCUCUCCUGUCUCUAAAUCACAUGUGCAGCUUGUGCCACUAUGUAGGUGUCAAUACAUCCAACAUAUUUUUUUUACUAAUUCAUAUAUUCAUUCAUUUAUUAUUUGUUUGUAGCAGGAUAAAGUAUAAAGAAAUUAACUUAUGAUUUGUUUUUGUUUUGGUGUGUUCAUUUUAUUCAGGAAAUAUUUGUUGAGCACCUACUGUGUGCAAAACUCAAAGUUGACAAAGACCUUUUAUAUUCUAGUCAGGGCAGACAGAAUCACUUUGGCAUCCUAGUCAAGGGGAAGAGAAGUAAACACACAAGAAAGAAAAAUAUAUAAUAUGUCAGACAGGGAUGACUGAUGAAUGGUGGUAGUGGUGGUGGUAAUGACAGUGUUUGUGUGCAAUGAAAGGGUUAACAGUUAAUAGGUAAUAUUUUCUCCAAACACAGGGACACUUGCAGAAAGUUUUACCCUUAGUUGGACUUGCUGCAAUUAGAGAUAAAUGAGUGUCUUCCUGGUGUUUCUGUUUACUGACUCCUGAUCCUAGGAUGUUCCUAGCAUGCUGUAGCUGGCUGUCUGGAUUAUUUCUUGUACAAUUUGUAGUUUUUAGAUUAAAGCUUCACUCAAGAAAGGGAUCUGGGUAUGGACCACUCCAAGUACAGAGGACUAGCAAGUAUCUAAGCUUGGGGACAAGAAUAUUGGCAUUGGAGAUUUGAAGUGAUUGGAUUCUUGAUAUAUUUUGAAAGUGGACCCUACAGAAUUUGCUGAUGCAUUAGAUGUGGGCUUGUGAGAGGUUGACAGGAAUGAGAAUGACCAAGGUAUGUGGGCCUGGCAGCAAGAAGAAUGGAGGCGCCUUUAUAGUGCUCUAUUGUUUGAUGUAUCUAUUUGCCUUUGAUGAGCAUUUUUUUGCUAUUAAAUUCAAUGCAGCAGUGACAUUGUUCACAAUUUCUUCUUAGACACGUUUGAGUUCCUCUAGGAUGUUCAUAAGAGUGGGAUUGCUGGUUCACACAGUACUGCUGCUUCAUUAGUUCCCAGUUUCACAUCUUUGCCAACACUUAGUAUUGUCAGGCUUAAAGUUCUUGCUGAUCUGAUGGAUGUGAAAUUAUAUCUCAGAAACAUAUUAGACCUUUGCCCAUAUUGUACUUGUUUGUUCUAUUUUCUGUAUUUCCAUCUUUUGUUUCUCUCUCCGUGUUUCUAUCCAGAUAUUUUAUUUUGGUGUAUCUUGAUGUGUUAAUGUGGAACUCUUGUUACCAUUCCAAGUGGUUUCUUCAUCUCAAGCCUUAGUAAAUUUCAUUAUUACCCGCCCAAUGGAUCAAAACUACAUCCAAAUGUCUUUAACACUUUUCUUCACUCCCUACAUCCAGUCCAUCACCAAGCUCUCCCGCUUCUACUUCCAAACAUCCAUAUCCGAUCACGUCUCCCAUUCUACUACAAAUAUCUUGUCUGAGCCACUCUCAUUUAUCUUUAGAUAAUGAGAAAAAGCUUUUCACUCAUUUUCCUGCUUUAGCUACUGUCUUUCCCCAAUUAAUUCUCUGAAACUAUUUAGUAUUUAUAGUAAAAUCUUAAUGUCAUUUUAUUUACUUAUUUUUGGUUAAAUUUAGGCCUAGGUAUGCUAUGUUUAUUUUCACUUGUAAAUUCUGUCUUUUAAACAUUUUCUUACUGUUUGAUACCGGUUUAUAAUUGAUCUUAGACUCAACUUUAUUGCUUAAUAAUUAUUUUCUUAAUAAUUCUAAAAUAUUGAUAAUCAUUUAGUUUGUAGAUAAUGACAGUUUUGGAGUCACUUUUCCUUUUCCUUUCUAUUUUUUUUAAAUCAUUUUAUGUCUAUGACCUACCUCAUGGAGAAAAAUGUACAAGAAUGAUCAUAGAUGUAUUAUUUGUCAUCACAAAAAUUUUAAAGCCAUGUAUAUGUUAUCAAUAGGGGAAUGAAAAUAUAAAUUUUACUAAAUUCACACAGUGCAAAAUCACAAAGUAGUCAAUUAUGAAUGAACUAGAGAUCUCAGUGUUAAUAUGUGUAUAGUUAAAAAACGUAAAAUUGAACAAAAUUGUAAGUUGCACUGUGUAUAGUCUAUAUAUAGUGUGAAACUGUAUAAUGUUAAAAUAUUAAAAAUGAGUGCCGUAUAUUAUUUAUGAAUACAUACAUAUGUAAAAAAUAUAGUGAUAUUCAAGAUAGGGGUUCCCUCUGGGGGUAAGUGAGGGAAAUGAGAAGGGAGGUACGCACUGGCUCUUCAACAAUAUUGCUAGUGUUUAAUUUCUUAAGUUGAGUGUUUAUGAUGUUUUUCAUAUUAUUCUUCCUAUUUAAAAAAAAGUUUGAAUAUUACUUUAAUCCUCAGAUCAUACUCCCUGCUUACAAUUCUCCAGUGGUUUCCUGUUGCCCUUAGAAUAAAGUAUCAACAUAACACGGUCUAUGAGGGUCCACAUGACCCGUUUCCUGACUGACUCUUCAGUCUCCUCCACUCCUCUCUCCUCUCCUUCAGGAAACUUCGGUUACUCUAUGCUUCAAAUCCUCCACCAAUUCCUAGCUUUCUUGCCUUAAGCAAGUUACUUCUUCAUGUCUGUUUGCUCAUGUGUAAAAUGUAGAUAAUAAAAGUACCUGUCUCAUUGGGUUGUUGUGAGGAUUAAGUGUAUUAGGACAUAAAAAGUUCUUGGAGCUGUACCUGGCAUACAGUAAACGCUUGGUAAAUAUUAAGAAGAUCAUUGUUACUAUAAACAUCACUGAUGACAUAAUUUGAUCAUGAAUCAGAGGAAGUGAUAGUUAAACUGAGAACUUAAGAGGCGGAGACUGGCAGGGAGGAGGAUUCCAGGCAGAAGAAAGAGCAUCUGCAAAGCCUCUUAGGUGAAAACAACCUGGUGUCCUCAAGAAUCGAAAGGUAGGCAUCGUGGCUGUGAAUGAAGGGGCAAGCAACAGGGGUGGGGUCAAGUAGGGUCUUUUAGUUUAUACCUUACAAAGUUGUGUAAUGAUGGGUGCUUUAUUCUACUGUGGCUCAGGUGGGUCUUGAGCGGUGUAGUGAACCCUGGAUGGUGCAUAACGAUCCUUAUCUCCCGGUAUUCACACUCUUGUGUAGCUGCCUCCCAUAUUGUGCUACUACUAGUGUUGGUCUGUGUGACGAUAGAAUACAGAUGAAGAGAUAAUAUGUCAAUUAUAAGAUUAUGUUAUAAAAGGCAGCAAAGCUCCUAUCCACCCUCCCUUCCCAUUCUCUCAGUCUCUCUCUCUCUUUCUCUCUUUUUCAGAUUACUUGCUCUGGGGCAGCCAUUGGCCAUGUCAUGAGGAAGCUUUAUGGGGAGACCCACCUGGUGAGGAAGUAAAGCCUCUUGUUGAAAGCAUCUACUUAAUGAUGAGGUCGCACUCUUUUGAGCUUCUGCUGUUUGCCAGAGACCAUGCUAAUCAACGCGUGUACAGGAUCACGAAGACGUGAUCUGCGUCUUGUUCAUCAUUGUCACCCUGCUGUCUGGUCCAGCUCAGGGUACAAGAUGAAGAAAGAGGCUCAGCCAGGAAGGUUGGUUGGCAGAAGUUCACGUAGCUAAGUCAGUGGAACAGCCGGGAUGAGAACCCGUGUCUGUUCAGUGUCGAAGAUGGUGCUCUUAACCAUCCUGCUCUUCGUCAAUAUGGUAAUAGUGGCCCGAAAGAACACUGGCACACCCUAAAAUUAACCCUUUUCCUCCCUUGGCAUUAAAUAUACACUCAGUAGUUCAUACGUAUGAAAUCUGUUAGGGCUGUAUACCAGAAGAUGGAAACGUUUUCAGCUGUUAGAAAUACACUUUACUGAAGAGAUCAUUAAUAUGGGGGAAAAAUAAGCAUUUGACUAUUUUACAUUAAAAUGUUUUUGAAGUUUUACAAAGAAAAAUUAAACAAAACCUACAUUUAAGGAGUUACAGCAACAUCUUUACUGUUUGGAGAACACUAACAUUUACAGAAGACUGACGUUUCCUCACUGUCAUUGUAAAGAAGCCCACGGCCAGUCCUGUUUGCAGUAGGAAGCCCUGUUUACUAACUCGGAAGGGAUGAAAGAAUCAGAGACUCUUAUAACUGGAAGAGACCUUAGAAGUCAUUCAGACAAAUAGCUUGACGUUUUCCAGACAGAUGCUCGUGUCAUUUUCCCUUAAACACCUCCAGUGAUGGAGUGCGCCCUGCCUCCUGGGGCCUCGCAUUCCACUUCAGCAGCUCGUCUAAAGGCCUUUCUUUCAGCUGAGUCCAAAUCUAUGUCUGUCAUUUCCACCCCAUUGUUCCCUUUCCUUUCCUUUUCCCAAUGACAGCCCAAAUCUUCUUUUUCUGGCUCCUAUUCCCCUUUUUUUUUUCCAGUUCUUCCUUAUGUAAAAUGAUUUGGGAUCCUUUUGUCACCCUGAUGGAUUUUCAGUUUAUCCUCCAUGUUUUUAAAAUCUUCAUCCUUAAGUGUGUGGCUCCAAACCAAAGACAAUGCUCAAAGAAUUGUUAGCAAAUUGCAGAAUAAAAAAGUACUGCCAUCUUUCUUCACCCAUAGAGCAUGUUUUAUGUGAAUAAUAUAUAUAUGUGUGUGUGUAUAUGUAUAUAUAUAUAUACACACACACAAACACUAAAUGUGAUAAUUUCAUGCACAAUCCAAAGGACUAUUUUAAAACUCUGGGUAUUAAAAAUAUAUAUUAGGGAUUUGAGACUGCAAAAAGAGAAGAUUAGUGGAGUCAAGAAAUAAACUGUUGAGAAGUUUGAGGAGGAGGCAGCUGAGAUGGGGAAGGUCUCCCUCAUGCGCCUCCAGAGUUUUGGGAAGACCCCUGGGAAUGCGAUAUCACCAUUAACAGCUCCCAGUGGGAGACUGGAGACCUACAAACACUAUGUGAGCCAUACCGAUGGCCUGGGACGUAAAGAAUUAAUAUUCAUAAACUGAUUACAGAUACCGCACUUUUGUUGCAUUUAUAGCUGAUACUUCAAGGAAUAUUGUUCUAAUGUCUAUGAUUGUUGCUGUUAGCAAGUAUGUUCCACAAAGUCACCCUAGAGCCUGGCAAGAUAUGAGGAAAUUGUCAACUGAGUCAAUCACUUCAAGAAAGCUGACUACAAUGCAUACAGGGCCUGACAUGGCUGUUGAGCAUGCAGUGUAUAUCUGAUUUAAGCAUAUGCUGUGUCCCAAAGGCAGAAGAAUUGGCCUUAAAAUAAAGAUACAACUUCUCCCACAUUGGCAUUUCCUUAAGGAUAAGCAUCUUUCCUUAGGCUAGGAACUGACUGCUGUGCGCACCUGUGACCACCCAGCUCACUUGUGACCACCCCGCUCACCUGUGACCACCCAGCUCAAGACAAUAGACCUGCCAGCCUGCUGUGUCCACUGAGACAGCAGACCUACCUGCUGUGUCCAUCAAUCGCUGUGCCGUCAGAGCGGUCUCGUGACCAUUGUAAAAGGAUGCUUUGUGAAACAUCCUCUUUGAGGGUAUACAACCACUCUGUGCACCCCACUUCUUUGGUGCCCUUCCUUCCUUGGGGAAAGAAGGCCUGGGCUAUAUGGUCCUCAUCUGGCUCAGAAUAAACUCACCUCAAUUUUCAUUUAUGUAUUUGUUGUGGAUUAUUUACACCGACAUCACCAACGGCAGUGACUUGCUCCACCGCACCAGUCAUCGCCUGAACCACCCAGGCCAGCUGGCUCUAUAUUCAUGUUUGAUUUUGUAUUCUUCACACCGCUUACAAGUUUACUUGGUUUAAGGGGAAGAUGGCCAUCUUGGUAAGAAGCUAGAAGAAGGACUCAAAUUCUUGAAAGCAGAUGAUGGUUCUGAUGUUGAGACAUUUUCAUGUAAUGUGUGUGCUGUGUUUAUCUUCAAGGCAUGUCAGGAAAGCUGCUGGAAACGGCAAGAGACAGUCUUCCCAGAUCUCCAGCCAACCCAAUCUCAAUCAGAACAGUCUCAGAAAUGUUCAUCUCAAAUGACCAUUCAAGCUUAAUAGUUUAAAACAGAGGAAUGACGACAGCAUCCUGUAAAAAUUAGAGGGGAAAAAUGUUUGUGGAUCAUUUGUUCUGUGGUUAUUGUCAGCUUUUGAAAUCUGUAUCUUUAAAUGGAAAAAACUUAAUAAAAAAUCUGUACCAGGUUGAAAAAAUUAUUUUGAAGAUUUUCAAGCACACAAAAGCAGAGGGAGUCACAUAAGGGACCCCCACAUACUCAUCACCCAGCUUCAAUAAUUAUCAACAUUUUGUCAUUCUUGUUUCAUUUAUUCAUUUCCUUGGUUUUUAUUUUCUAGAUUAUUAUAAAACAUACACAUCAUAGGCAUCUCUGAUAGCUAAUUUCUCAAAAGUUUGAGAAUAUUAAAACAAAAUUUAAUGGAAUGAAAAAAGAAAUAUUAUAGGUAAAUAUUGCUACAUAUUUGCGUGCAUCAUUUCAUUUGGUAAGAAAAAAUUUCAGAUGCUGCAUUUUUUACCAUCCAAAAUAUCUAAUAGCAAAAAAAUAACACCUCACUUUAAAAAACCAAACUAAUCAGAUUGCUCCCAUGCCUCAUGACACAUGCGAUGUUUCGAGCUCUAGAUAUGUCUUAAAUCAUGUGGUAAAUUCUUCUAAACAUAAACGUAAUUCUUUAUCUCUAUAAGUGAUAAUUCUAUAGUAAAGUUAUUUCAAAGACUCUACUAUUAGUCUUUUUCUUUGAUUAUUGUUUUUUGUUGGAAAAUUGGUACACUUAAUACAGUUCCUCAGCUUAUCUCAAAAUGCUAUCCAAGGAGAAGAAUAUUUGUAGAUUUAAUAAGUCCAUUUUCUAUUUUAGGAACAAUAAAAGUGUGUGCAUAUAGACAUACAUACUUAUAUAGGUGUGUACUAUGUAUAUAAAUAUAUUAACAUGUACAUAUGUAUACAUUUAUACAUAAUUAAGAUAUACACAUCUUCUCAAGAAGAUAUACAUAUAUACUAUCGUAUAUGUAUAUAUAUUAAGAAGAUACACAUACAGACAUACACACACUCAGUGUCUUCUUGAACAAGUACCCACAUGUAAGCACUUCCGUUAUCUCUUGUUGACAUGCUGCAUGGUUAAGAUGUCCAACAAAUCAGCCACCUGGGGACACCCUUGGGCAGCACACUUCUCUCCCUCCAGCCCGGAUGCCACCCUGUGCUGUCCCUGUCACUGUGCUACCCUGAGUAUCCUUGCCAGGACACCUGUGCCUUCACCUGCAGGCCUCCCGUCUGGUGAAGUGACAGCCUCUUCUGGUUUGCGCACCUGCUGGACUCACACUGCCCGCGUCCACACACCCUUUGCCUAUGGGUGGCGUGUGGAGCUUGGAGAAAGUCAGACACCGGCCUAGGCGUGGAGGGCAACGGCGAGAAUUCAGAAGGAAGAGAAGCAGACUUUCAAUUGUGUGCUGUAUGUGUUCGUGAAGAUUUGCUGAACAGAACUGUGGUUUACAUUAUAUAUAAAAGGAAAUCUAAAAAACAUAACCCCUUUAAUUCUGAAAUUCAAUUAAUCAAUGACAAUGAAGUUUCCAAAGGUCCCAAAGAAAUUUUUAAAAUUGGGGCACACAUAAAAGAGGCGUUUCUUUAAAACGGUGUGAUUUCACACUUAUUCUGAACUUCCCUGCGGCUUCUUGUGGUACAGAAAUUAACCUGCAACACCUUUCCUAUUUCUCUCCUGUGCUGUUUUUCCAAUGAUUAAUGGCUUUAAAAAGGGAAAAAAAAUCUGUUUCGCUUGAAACUACUUUCUCCAACUAGAAAAAAUAUAAAAUUCUACUUUGCAAACCA